AGUGAACGCUGGCGGUAGGCCUAACACAUGCAAGUCGAACGGCAGCACAGUAAGAGCUUGCUCUUACGGGUGGCGAGUGGCGGACGGGUGAGGAAUACAUCGGAAUCUACUUUUUCGUGGGGGAUAACGUAGGGAAACUUACGCUAAUACCGCAUACGACCUACGGGUGAAAGCAGGGGAUCUUCGGACCUUGCGCGAUUGAAUGAGCCGAUGUCGGAUUAGCUGGUUGGCGGGGUAAAGGCCCACCAAGGCGACGAUCCGUAGCUGGUCUGAGAGGAUGAUCAGCCACACUGGAACUGAGACACGGUCCAGACUCCUACGGGCGGCAGCAGUGGGUAAUAUUGGACAAUGGGCGCAAUCCUGAUCCAGCCAUACCGCGUGGGUGAAGAAGGCCUUCGGGUUGUAUAGCCCUUUUGUUGGGAAAGAAAAGCAGCAGGUUAAUACCCCGCUGUUCUGACGGUACCCAAAGAAUAAGCACCGGCUAACUUCGUG
rnacentral:rRNA from 1 species